AAGCAUGGAUUGCAAAAUCGUUUGCAUGCCCCGAGGUGACCAACUUAAAACAGGUGACUCGUUUUGGAAGCAAAACAAACACAAGAAGGGGAUUUGGGUUGCAGGCAGCUGUGGAUCCUGCACGCUCAGCUGGUGACGCACAAAGAAACAGGUGACGGCGUCGGGAUGUUUGCCCUGCAAGGGUGCCACCACGUGCUUCUUUCCCCUGGAACAAGCUCUCUCGGUAAAAUCUGCACCUGGCCUGGUGGUCUUGGCAACAUCGGACAACCUCUAGCAGAUGUUCGCCUCUCUUUUGUCGAUGACUUCGCGGUGGCUGCUCCGCGAGACAAAACUGCGGAUCAUCUCAUGGGUUCCUCGGCUGCAGAGAUCGUACGUGAUGAAGCUUUACUCAGUCACCAGAUCCGGGAUGAAAGUUACCCUUUGGCUGUGUGACAGACAGGAAGAAAAGGACACUCACGCUAGUGUGAAGGCAUAUGAAAUGGUUUCGCAGCCAGCCAAACUUCCUGAAUCCUCUUCUAUGGAGAGAUGCCAAACCACAGAAGAGAGAAUAAGGGUAGCCAGGAAGAAGAGAAAGAAGGAGCUGAAAGAGAAAGAUAGAGACAGUCUUUGAAGGUAAAACUGUGCUGUUAUGGCAUCAGAGGGUGAAGAGGAAGCAAAGGCUAUAAUCACUACAAUUACCCACCGCUCUCACCUAGACCAGCACUCCUCAGCUCUCUCUUAAAUACAGUCACUCACUCACCCUCUGUGUCUUGUCAUUCUGAAACACUCUUUACACACAAUUUUGAACUAAAAGGUACCAGUUACGCAAGUUCAAAUCUUGUGAAACUGCCAUUUAGCAAAAUCGAGGUUGUCUCACUUUAAACGACCAGCAGAAAUUGAUAAUGGGGAGCAGAUGUAAGAAAAAAAGACUUGCUGCACCAUAACAUCCCUCUGACAGCUGUCUCAAAAAAAGACAGAUGUAACAUACACAGUGUGAGAUGCUAUUGAAAACUAAGAGUAAACUGCAAAAUAUAUAUAUAUAUAUAUAUAUAUACAUGUUCAAUAACAACAGCAAUAAUAUAACAACAUACUUUAUUAUAAUUAUAAUUAUUGAAAUCAUACAGUAAAUGAAUGCUGUCAUGAACCUUACUUCUCCCCAUCCAUAACACUAAACCUCUAACCAUACUGAACCUGCGGAUCAGUAAAUGCUUCCUUGAAGGUCCAGGAAGGGAACAACAGUUUCACUCACAGCCAAUAGUCC
ensembl:lncRNA